CCGAGAGCCAGCGUGCAGCGCAGCUGGGGGCGUGACCGACAUGAGAUGAAAACUGCGCAGACUCAGCAACUCAUCCCCAAUAGGAGGGCGAGAGCCCCAGCGUCCUCGGUUUCCAUAGUGACAGAGCCUACUUCUGGUCUCUAACCGCCACGGUUUCCCUUCUUAGCUCCGGGCGCACCCAGGAAAGACAAAAAUACGCAUAAGGCCAGCCGUUUGACCCCUUGCAGCAGAAGAUAAAGGGCUCCACUCUAAACGUGGUGAUCCUGUUCACCCCUGGGAGCUGCUUGGCAGAACUGGCCCUACACACCGGGAAACUGGAGGAAGGAUGAAAGACUGGAAGGACUGUGGUUGUGGAGGAGACCAAAGGAAUGCCGCCCGCGGUAGAAUGUUGGCAGGUCUUGCAUAGCGCUACAGACACAACAUGUGGUGGCCUAAGCACCCUAAUUUCUUUGUUUCUGCCUAGCCAGUAUAACAGUCCAGAAAACCUCCUUUCCUUUAGGAAAUAAAUACUCAGGGAUAUUAAAAUCGAA